AAAGAAAAAAAAUUUAAAAAAAUAAAUAAUUUCACUCUAUUUAACUUUUAGGUAUUGGUGAAUUAACCUUGGAUGAUGUUCAGAAUUCUCAGAAGAAAAGUUUGAAAAUAGUUUUGAAAUACAAUAUUAUCAGAUAGUACUACCUAAAGCACGCUGUCAGAUCCACUUUCAGAUCUCUUUCCACUCUCAAAACAACAGAUUAAAGUCCUUUAAACUGCAGAAGUAUUAGAUCACUGCCAAUUUAUCAACAAAACAAAGUAAGGAGCCUCUUGCAAACAAUCACCUCAUAAUUUUUCUUAAAUAACUGAAGAAGCAAGUUGUGAGCUCAGCUACUAUGUAUGCAAAAGGCCAAUGGGAAUGAUCCAUUCUCCAGGCCACCUCUUGUGACUAACGUCUGGUCACUGAGCCCCAAAUCGACCUAACCUGCACAAGAUCCACAGCUCCUGGGGCCAGCUGACUGGACACAUUCACAGGACAGAGUGCUGGAGGUGUGGUAAAGUAUGAUAACACUAAAAAAUUCAGGCUCUUAUAUAUGCUUGUAAUUUAUAUUUGAUUUUUAAAAUAAAUAAGAUCUGAAAUUGUCCCA
rnacentral:lncRNA from 1 species